rnacentral:rRNA from 1 species
AGUGGGGAAUAUUGGACAAUGGGCGAAAGCCUGAUCCAGCAAUGCCGCGUGAGUGAUGAAGGCCUUAGGGUUGUAAAGCUCUUUUACCCGGGAUGAUAAUGACAGUACCGGGAGAAUAAGCCCCGGCUAACUCCGUGCCAGCAGCCGCGGUAAUACGGAGGGGGCUAGCGUUGUUCGGAAAUACUGGGCGUAAAGCGAACGUAGGCGGCUUAGCAAGUCAGGGGUGAAAUCCCAGAGCUCAACUCUGGAACUGCCUUUGAAACUGCUUCGCUUGAAUCCUGGAGAGGCGAGUGGAAUUCCGAGUGUAGAGGUGAAAUUCGUAGAUAUUCGGAAGAACACCAGUGGCGAAGGCGACUCGCUGGACAGGUAUUGACGCUGAGGUUCGAAAGCGUGGGGAGCAAA